UACGAAGGGAGCUAGCGUUGUUCGGAAUCACUGGGCGUAAAGGGCUCGUAGGCGGCCAACUAAGUCGGACGUGAAAUCCCUCAGCUUAACUGGGGAACUGCGUCCGAUACUGGAUGGCUUGGAUUUGGGAGAGGGAUGCGGAAUUCCAGGUGUAGCGGUGAAAUGCGUAGAUAUCUGGAGGAACACCGGUGGCGAAGGCGGCAUCCUGGACCAAUAUUGACGCUGAGGAGCGAAAGCCAGGGGAGCAAACGGG
rnacentral:rRNA from 1 species